GAUCAAUGAUGAAAUAUAGCCAAAUCUGAGCACCAGGUAGCGGAAACUGGUGCAUGAUUUGUAAAGACCUGAGA